CUCUGAGAUCAUGACCCAAGCCAAAGUCAGAUGCUUAACUGACUAAGCUACCCAGGCACCCUGAAGUUCUCACCUUUAGAAGCCUUGAGAGACACAUCAGAGCCCUGGGCACUGUCACAGCCACAGUACAACAGGACGUGGUCAGAGCCUCCAGGAGAUGAGACAAGGGAGCUAUGGGGUGGGUGAGCUCCUCAUGGGGCCCCGUCUGCACUACCCAGGGUCUCAGGGAUCACCCCGUCCAUACUUACUUGCAGACUGAGUGUAGCUCCAUCUUUUCCCCUGUGAGAACAAAACAUCGUGUCAGAGGCCAGGGAGAAGGCUUGGGCCCUGAGGUCCUAAAGGGGCCCCUGAAAUUUUGGCCUCCAAAGAAAUUUCCAGAACUUUAACUACAGACCUAGGGCAAGAUUACACAAUGUGAGGUGUGAUUUUCGAAAGAGUAUUAGCAAAUAGGGUCCAACUGGGUAAGCACAUGUGUGUGGAUGGUGCCUCUCAGGACUGAGGCAACACACUGGAAAAUUACAUAUGGCUUGAAGCCCUCCCCCCGCCACCCCAUCACUCUCCCCGCAACCUCGUGCAAGAAAACUCUGACCUCACCCCUUUCCCUGCUGGAGCUCUUCCUCCUCCAGGUCCCAGGUCCAGUGACCACAGCUCCAAGGACAGCCAAACCAGCAAUGAUUCCCAUGAUGGGGAUGUUGGAGUGACACGGGGGCUCUGGGAACGAAAGGGAAGGUGAGAGUUCUGACCCCUGGGCCUCAGCUGUGAUGCCGCUGAAGGUCUACAGAAGGUGUCAUGAAUUCUGCUGUCUGUGGAUAAAAUCCACCCCUUCAUCCCCCUUCUUACCCCAUCUCAGGCUGACGGGAUCCUGCAGCCUCCCGUGCUGCACAGGCAUGUGUAUCUCUGCUCCUCUCCCGGAAGGCACCACUACAGCCGCCCAUUUCUGGAAGGUCCCGGCUCGGCAGGCCUGGUGUCCACAAGCUCCGUGUCCUGGGUCAGGUCCUCCCCAUCACACUGCCAGGUCACAGUAAUCUCUGUCUGGUAGAAGCCCACAGCCCUUCACCUCAGGGUCCCCUCAUGGUCAGAGAUGGGGUGGCAGGUCACAUGUGUCUGUGGAGGAUCUGAGGAGAAGGGUCAGAGACUUUAGGAACUUUGCAUCAUCCCCCGGGGACCACCGAAGCAGCACUCAUGUGACCAUGCUGAGAAUGGAGAGGACAAUGGGGUGGGCAGGGGAGUGCAAGACUCACAUCCCAGCCGGAGCUCCAGGAUCUGGGAUAACUUCCCAUCCCUUGGGAAGGUCUGGAGGCAGGGUAAGUAAGACAGCCUAGGGGAGGAGGCUCAGGGUCCCUGAGUGAGGGAACAGAGACUUCUAGUCCUGACCUGGUAGAGGAGGCCCAGUGGCUCAAAACCCCUGGAGUCAGCCCUCCAAUGAAGUUGGGCAUGGGACAGAGAGCAAGGCUUGAGGGAGGACGUCACCUGGGGGUGCCCAAGGUGAAUACCAGGGUCAAGGAAACCUGCUAUUGAAUUCUUUUAGAGAUAUGUCUCUCCACAGAGACUGGAUCCCCUCUGUCCUGAGAGAAGGAUGGGUCCUGCGAGCCAGUCUCUCUCUGACACAGGAUCCGAAAACCCAGGGGAACUCCUCACCCUCAGGACCCAAGGAGGGGGACAGGGAAGAAUUCUGGUGUCAAUCCUAUUUUCCUCCCUUUCGGUGGGGCCAGCAGGAGGUACAGCACCUGCCCCAGGGGAGAUCAGGAGGCCUGGCGGCCCCACACACCUGCUUCCUACAAGGUCUCUUUCCCUUUCUCCAGGUACAGGUGGAGCCCCAGCACGUACUCCCUCUGCAGGUAACACCCGGUAGUGCUUGGCUGCUCAGGCAGCUUCCCACUGGCGCCCAAGGAUCCGAACCGCCUCCUCCGCUGCCCUCCAGGAGUGCAGGUCCUCCUUCAGGGGGCUGUAAUCGGCGCCCUCCUAGCGAAUUGCUCACACCCGCCGAGGUGGUUCGCAUCGAACCCUAAGUUGCAGCCAGAAGUGCCUUGGAAGUGGCGGAGGGCGGUGUGCAGGUUCGGUCGGGAGGUCGGUGCGUGCACCUUGGCGAUCUCCGUCUGCUCGUCCCAAACUGUGUCCCUCCUGCUCCACCCACGGCUUCCACAGCUCUACCCUCGGACUCGCGGCGUCGUUGUGGAAUCGCAGGAACUGCGUGUGGUCCACUUGGCCCACCGAGACGUACAGCGCCUCCCCGCGACCGGUCCGGGACACCGCGGUGUGGAAACACCUCAAGGAGUGGGAACUGUGGGCACAAAGGGGCUGAGACCCCGUCCGACCCUCCUCCAGGCCCGGAGCCGGGUCCCAGAUGGAGGCAGCCGGGAGGGCAGGGCGGGGUGCCCCCCCCCGGGGGGGGGGGGGGG